rnacentral:rRNA from 1 species
CCAAAUACCAGGUCUGUGAUGCCCUUAGAUGUUCUGGGCCGCACGCGUGCUACACUGAGCGGGUCAACGGGUGAGAUGUGCGAGAGCGCUUCCCAAUCUCUAAAUCCGCUCGUGCUGGGGAUCGAGGCUUGCAAUUUUCCCUCUUGAACGAGGAAUACCUUGUAAGCGCGGGUCAUCAUNCCGUGCUGAAUACGUCCCUGCCCUUUGUACACACCGCCCGUCGCUCCUACCGAUUGAGUGGUCCGGUGAGGCCUUGGGAGGGAUGGAUGGACUGUGUUUUCACAGACUGUCUGGCCCGAACUUGGUCAAACCUUAUCACUUAGAGGAAGGAGAAGUCGUAACAAGGUUUCCGUAGGUGAACCUGCGGAAGGAUCAUUCGUAGUGGGAUAGCGGACUUGGCACCUUGUGUGUCUGGUCUGCUUUUCUAUCAUAUCUCGUGAACACUUUUAAUCCAUAUUUUUGUUUUACAACCAUUUCAAUCCAUUUGAACAUAAAUAAACACAAAAUUCUGUUUUAACCAGACAAAAACUCGUGACGGUGGAUGUCUUGGCUCCAGCAACGAUGAAGAACGCAGCAAAAUGCGAUACGUAGUGCGAAUUGCAGAACCCGUGAAUCAUCGAAUCUUUGAACGCAAGUUGCGCUCGCGGGUAAUCCUGCGAGCAUGUCUGUUUGAGUGUCCGCACAAAUGCGACUUUUGCUCUUUUAUAAAAGAGCUGCUGAUGGGCGUGCAGAAAUGCAGUGAGUCCGGGUUCCUUCCGUUCAACGGCUGGGAUGCGGUCGCCCGAAGAAGAGAGCGCUGAUUGUCGUGGUCUGUCCUUUUACUUUAAUCCUUUGGAUUCAGGGGGCUUUUGGGUGCGGUCUUCCAAGACUGCUGCCUAAUGACACGAUCUGAGCGUGCGCUGCGAAGUAAUUUUAUUGAGCAGUCCGCAAAGUUUGUUUAUUAGGAACGCGAAUCAUUUAUUUGUGAGCGACCGAGAGUGUUUUCUGGCCUUUGGUGUCAAAAG